rnacentral:rRNA from 1 species
UACCAGCACCCCGAGUGGUCGGGACGUUUUAUUGGGCCUAAAGCAUCCGUAGCCGGUCCUGCAAGUCUUCCGUUAAAUCCAGCUGCUCAACAGAUGGGCUGCGGGGGAUACUACAGGGCUAGGAGGCGGGAGAGGCAAGCGGUACUUUAUGGGUAGGGGUAAAAUCCGUUGAUCCAUAGAAGACCACCAGUGGCGAAGGCGGCUUGCCAGAACGCGCUCGACGGUGAGGGAUGAAAGCUGGGGGAGCAAACCGG